CAAUAAUCACUUGAACCUACAUCUUGUAAGAAUUUCUCCUAACUAGCGGUGAAAUUGUACAUGACAACCAACUGAAUAUUACUUUUUACCCCUCCCAUUCUGACUGCGUUGCAACUCCUAACUCCGUGAGAGUUCCUUCCAGUGUAAUAAUAGUUUUACAUGGUUUUGGUACUAUUUCAUUGCUAACAUCAGCUAUCAGGUUGCCAUACAUAUGCAAUUUAAUGUUAGUAAAGUAUCAGUGCUGUUAUUAUUCUGUAUAUUGUAUGAGAUUAAUAGUGUAAGGCAAUGUUUACAGUGUAGGAGAGAAGCAACAGAGAUUUGUGUGUUUAAUUUCUCUGAGCAGUAUUAACAAUGUCAAUGAAACUGAAAUUAGCUCUUAGCAUCUCCAUCUUUAAACAUGCAGCUGUUCUAGCUGUAUCUAGUCUGUGUUAAGACUGCAUGACGUGAGUUGUCUAACAGGGAAAUCACGACACAUAUGAUU